UACGUAGGGUGCGAGCGUUAAUCGGAAUUACUGGGCGUAAAGUGUGCGCAGGCGGCCGAGCAAGUCGAGUGUGAAAGCCCCGAGCUUAACUUGGGAACUGCGCUCGAAACUACUUGGCUAGAGUGUGGCAGAGGGAGGUGGAAUUCCACGUGUAGCGGUGAAAUGCGUAGAGAUGUGGAGGAACACCAGUGGCGAAGGCGACUUUCUGGUCUGUAACUGACACUGAGGCGCGAAAGCGUGGGGAGCAAACAGG
rnacentral:rRNA from 1 species